UAGAGUAAAAUAUGAGUGCAAUAUUACACCACCAUCCACAGGCGAGCCCUUCUCACAGGGUAUAAAUGUCAAAUGCAAACACAGAAAAUUGCUUUAUCCUCCGGUAAACAAACAUCUCUCGUUCCUAGCAAAGAUUGCUUUUGAAAACUACUAUAGCUAUAAUUUUUCACUGUUGGCUUUGAAUGUAACAAAACAUGUCCCAACGUUCGAUUUCAAGCUAUUUUCGCAAGGAAACUUCACAGAAGGAUUGUGUUGUAGAGAAAGUCCAAAUCGGAUUCGGAUUUUGUACCCUCUAGAGAUAGUUGCACUUUCUCACCUGAAUGUGAUGAACGAAAAUCGGAGAAAGAAAUAAGGUCGGCAUCUACGAACUACUCGUUACCGCUUUCGGCCAAUUGCCCUGUUCUGAGCGAGUUUAAGAACGUAAAUGUAAUAAAAAAAAGACUCUAACAUCCCGAUAGAAAGUAACAGAAGCAUGUUAAUUGAUAAAAACAACAAUCGCUCUUGCGACCAUAUUGCGGAUAUUAAUUCACCUUUAAGUGACGAACAAGAGCAGAAUGUAAAUCAAGUCGUUCCAGCAUUCAUGCAAAAAUUUAGAAAAGCCUGGAUAAAUUCAUCAAUGAUGACAUUGAUUACAAAAAUAAAUUGAAAGG